CGGUAUCAGGUGUGCUAUGUUAGGGUAAAUGGCCAUGCAUGUGGCGUUCAAAGGCGUGUAUGUCUCAUACCUCGGGGUAGGGCCUGUCCUGACACGUGUUUGGCCCACUGUGUUGAUUGCCCGGGGGCGGGCAUUAUCGUGGCGAUACCCUUGGCUAUCGCGAUAGUGUCCUUUACUCCUUUUACUAAAAUGGGACUGGUAAGGAUGUAAAUCUUUCCUUUUGCCCUGAGAUUGAUAUGUCUGUUGACUUAGCGAAGUAUUAAGUAAGGCAUGAGGAGGCACCGCUGUCAUUUGGAAGGUCGAGGACUUCUCAUUUGGUUGGAUCUGGCUUCCACUCCCUACUUGCUAAUAAGGGUUGGUUGUGGGGGGUUUCCCUUGAUACGUCAUUGCCUCAGCAGAUGCAUGGUUGUAAUCAUAUGCCAUCGCCUCAAAGUAAGUCUUCCACGUGUUGGCAUUGAUCAUGUACUUGAAGAAAUAAUCACGUAGGCCUACCGUGAAGGCUUUGAGGGCAAUCUUGUCGUCUGCCUUAGCACAACAGGAAUACUCAUGGCUGAAGCGGCCAGCAUAUAUACGUAAUGACUCGUCUGGCUUCUAGCGAAUAGUGUACAAGUCA
rnacentral:lncRNA from 1 species